AAAAGUUGCACUACAUCAGCAGAUCCAAAAAAGAAACAUAACAAUUCUAGAAAUUCUAACAAGGUAUUGAAUUUCAGUUAUCUUGAAACUGUCGUCGAUAGAUGAAAUGGAUGUUAAACAGUGGAAUACAGACUAAUACUACACUUCUCUUUCUUUACUUUUAUACAGACUAAUACUACACCAAAGUUGCAAGUUAAGAGGAUAAAGACCCGCGCUAAAGUACCAGCAGGAUUUGGUGUUUAUGUUAGUCCUGAGGGAGCUGUAAUAGAUAAUAUGAAUGGACAAAACUCUGGAUUAGUUUUUGUGAGUUACAACUUUUUUUAAAUUGCAAGUAUUUAUGUUACUUUUAUUUGUCAUUUUUCAUAUGUAACCAUACUUGUGCUUGGUUAUGUCAAAUGCAGAUGCCAACUCCAGGAGAAGUCAUAUAUCAAGAUGGAUCAAGCAGAAAUAACACACCUCCUGCUACAAGAAUGUAUAGAACCCUACUUACAUCAAGCAACAAUCCACCAACUUCAAGCACAAUGGAGAACAUGAGAGAUUAAGUUGGAAGUCAGUAGGGACAUGAGAUAUCCAAGUUUAAUUUUUAAGAACUUUGUUUAAUAUUUAUGACCUUUGUUUAAUAUCAAGUUUGGACAGUGUGUUGAUUGAAAUGAUUGACUGAUGGCAGCUUUUUUCAAGUUUGUUUAAGACAAUGUAUUGUUUAAUAUCAAGUUUUAAGAACAUGACUGAUGGCAGCUUUUUUUAUUUUUAUGGUUGAAUUGAAUCCUUUUAUGGUUGGCUUGAAUCCUUUUCAUUUUUAUGGUUGAAUUGAAUGAUGACAUUUUUUUAUGUUCUGCAAAGUACCAAUAAGGCCUUCCUAACAUUUUCACCAGUUGGUCAAUUUGAGUGAGGUUUGGCAGUGCAUUUUGCUGAUUAAAAUAGGAAACAUAUCUACCCCUUUCCUUUUCUCUUUCAAUGAAGUGCUCUUUCAGUAGUCUGUAUUAUGACGAAGAAGAAAAUAAUUUGAGCUUAAUGGAUGUUGGCUAGUCCUAAUUCAAUCAGCAAGGAUGCAAUGUGGAUGAACUUGAGGAGCUUAUCUUUAUUCUUGAAUUUUAACUUAGUUUUGCUAGACACAUUCUUUAGUAGUUUAAUCUUCCAGAGCAUGUAGUAGUCGGAUUAAUUAAGCUUUGUGUCUUAUUUAUAUAUCUUGUGGGAUAUGGUGACCAUAAUACUUGCCACCAGCCUCUGUUAAAGCAUCCUUAAUUUGCAAAAAACAGAGCAUUGAAACAACAACAAACUAGAAAGACAAGAAACAGAGCAUGCAA
rnacentral:lncRNA from 1 species